rnacentral:rRNA from 1 species
UACGGGGGGGGCAAGCGUUGUUCGGAAUUACUGGGCGUAAAGGGCUCGUAGGUGGCCAACUAAGUCAGACGUGAAAUCCCUCGGCUUAACCGGGGAACUGCGUCUGAUACUGGAUGGCUUGAGUUCGGGAGAGGGAUGCGGAAUUCCAGGUGUGGCGGUGAAAUGCGUAGAUAUCUGGAGGAACACCGGUGGCGAAGGCGGCAUCCUGGACCGACACUGACACUGAGGAGCGAAAGCCAGGGGAGCAAACGGG